rnacentral:sRNA from 1 species
ACCGAAUUGUCGACAUGGGUUGUUGCUGGUCCUCAAAUGGGGACAUGUGCACGCUCUGUGUUUACACAUCCACUCACCCCUGUGCCCCCUCCAUAUCUCUGCACCGUGGGGGCUCUGCCCCCCCUGCUGUGGCUCUAUGUAUUUACACACACACUGUGUAAUAAAGUCUCGUGAAGUGCAUACCGCGUAUAACGCAAUAUAAUACAUCUUUCAACAACGGAUCUCGUGUCUCUCGCAUCUAAGAAAAACGCAGAAAAGUGAUAUAAAUAGUGAGAAUUGCAAAAUUCAGAGAAUCCUCAAAUCUUUGAACGCCCCUUGCCCCCUUUGUAUAUUCAAAAGGGUGUGUGUGUUAGAAUAUCAUGAACACCUCAUCUCUCGUGCUCUUGCCAUGAAGAUCUUGCACUUUGGGGGUCUUGGUGGUCUGUGCACAUCUCCUCUCAAAAGAAUCAUUUUGCCAGUGUGUGGUGAUAUCACAGGUGAGAUAUAUAUCUACUCUUGUGUUUUUCCCCCAGGAGACCUUCAGAGAAGAAGGCUCUCUGGGUCUCAUAAAAAUGUCUCUCCUCAGAGAAGACAUCUCUUUGAACGUUA